rnacentral:sRNA from 1 species
UAGGUUCUGAAGAAUGAUAAAUUGGACUGGGGCUGAGGUUGCCCUGGGGUUUGAGGGAACAGGGCUCCCUGGGUAUGGCUCUCCAGGGUAAGAGGAGGAGACUUCCCAGUUCAGCCUGACUGCUUCCCCCACCCCUCCAGGUCCUGAGCCUUUGCCUCCAAAAGGUCUGCAGUAUCUGGUGCUCUUGUCUCAUGCCCACAGCCGAGAGUGCAGCCUGGUGCCCGGGCUUCGGGGGCCUGGCGGCCAAGAUGGGGGGCUUGUGUGGGAGUGCUCAGCAGGCCAUACCUUCUCCUGGGGACCCUCUUUGAGCCCUACACCUUCAGAGGCACCCAAGCCAGCCUCCCUUCCACAUACUACUCGGAGAAGUUGGUGUUCCGAGGCCACGAGUGGGCAGGAGCUUGCAGAUUUGGAAUCUGAGCAUGAUGAGAGGACUCAAGAGGCCAGGUUGCCCAGUAGUGAGCCUGAUGCCCCCAGACUACUCCCUUCCCCUGUCACCUGCACACCUAAAGAGGGGGAGACACCACCAGCCCCUGCAGCACUCUCCAGUCCUCUUGCUGUGCCGGCCUUGUCAGCAUCCUCAUUGAGUUCCAGAGCUCCUCCACCUGCAGAAGUCAGGGUGCAGCCACAGCUCAGCAGGACCCCUCAAGCGGCCCAGCAGACUGAGGCCCUGGCCAGGUAACCUGAUGGCUGAGACAGAAAGGGCAGGGGCGUCCUGGGAUGUGGCCCUCCCUCGAGGCCCUCUGCUCCCUCUUUGCUGCCCAUAGCACUGGGAGUCAGGCCCAGUCUGCUCCAACCCCGGCCUGGG